GAGGCGGGGCGCCGGCGGGGCGAGGGCCGGAGCCGGGCGGCCAGCGGACCGGAGGCAGCGUCAUGGCCUCCGAGGUGGCCGCGCGCCGCGACGCCAAGAAGCUGGUGCGCUCCCCCAGCGGCCUGCGCAUGGUGCCCGAGCACCGCGCCUUCGGCAGCCCGUUCGGCCUGGAGGAGCCGCAGUGGGUCCCGGACAAGGAGUGCUCCAGGUGCAUGCAGUGUGAGGCCAAGUUUGACUUUCUCACCCGCAAGCACCACUGUCGCCGCUGCGGGAAGUGCUUCUGUGACAAGUGCUGCAGCCAGAAGGUGGCGCUGCGGCGCAUGUGCUUCGUGGACCCCGUGCGGCAGUGUGCGCGCUGCGCCCUGGUGUCCCACAAGGAGGCCGAGUUCUACGACAAGCAGCUGCGGGUGCUGCUGAACGGAGCCCCCUUCCUGGUAACCUUCGGAGAUGCCGAGAAGCCGGAAGCAGUGGUUUGCCGUCUUUCCAACAACCAGAGGUUCCUGCUUCUGGACGGAGACGGCCACCGCGAGGUUGAGGUCGCCCACAUCUGCACCGUGCAGCUCCUCACUGAGGGCUUUGCUCCUGGAGGUUGGGGGUGGUUGGCAUCCCCCCAACUCCCAAGGUUCAGAGUGGCGGUGACUCCUAGAAUUCGGCCCCAGCCCUCCCUGCGCCUGUCCGGCAUCUGGCACCUGGACUCCUGUCAUUUCCUGAAAAAGACAUUCACGCUCACACCAGCCUUCUGGGGAGCCAGCCUGUCUCUGAAGGGGGCUCACGGGCCACGGGCAUGUCCCUGCAGUACUCGGUGCCAGGGGCAGAGGGCCUGAGCCAGCUGAGGCUGAUGGCUGGGGAGGAGGCCAGUGCCAGCAGGAGGCAGUCGACUGCGUGGCUGGUGGCUAUGCACAAGGCUGCCAAGCUCCUGUAUGAGUCACGGGACCAGUAAGCAUGUGGGAUGCGACAGUGUGGACCAGGGGAUCCUGUCUGCUGGGCCGUUGUCUGAGCCGGAGGAACAGGAGUUCAUGGGCCUAGUGCAAUAAGCUCCCAGUCUAGCUGCUCUCGAAGCUGCUGCUUGCUUUCCCACGGGCUGCCAGCUGCGGGGGAUCACACACCGCUGGACUCAAGCUCACCGAUAGCUUCCAGGGUGAUGGGAACUGUCCCCUCCCCCCUUUCUUUCCAGAGGUUUAGGUAGCGAUCACUCAUCCGGGUCCUACAGCGCCUUCAGCCUGUCCACCUCACUGGUUUGGGGCCACAAACAAACCUCUGACACUUCGACACUUCAUGGGGGUACAGAAGCAGCUGUUUUGUACUUCUCACUUUCUACUUCACUUUGUUCAACUGUGUACACAAUUUGUAUAUAAAGCUUAUGAUCAGACCUAU